rnacentral:tRNA from 1 species
GUUAUUUUGGCAGAAUAGUGUAUUAGAUUUAGAAUCUAAGAAUGUAGGGUUAAUCUUACAAAUAAUA